rnacentral:misc_RNA from 1 species
CAGAGAGAGAGAGAGAGAAAAGAAUCAUUCUAGCAAAGGAUCGAUCCAGGAGCCAUGUUCACCUGCCAUGCCACUCUAGUGACAUAAUUAUUUUAACACACGUCUAGUCGAAGGGGUCAAUCCUCGGGUCGUGUUCGCUAGCCAUAGCCAUUCCAGUGCAAAGGCAUGUGGGGCACAUCACCUUUCCAGAUCCUGAACAAUUCGAACAUCUUUCUGUUUUGGGUGCUGACAGUGGCUGAUCUCCACUAUUGACCGUUGAAACUGGUUCAAUAAGAACAAGCGCUCCAGUGCUUGAGCAACGAGCACAAGCGAGAUACCCAGUUCCAAGACAAUAUUUGCAUCUUUUAUGUUCCUGUUGUUUUACAUUGUUUAUCUCGACUACCAUCAAGGCUGAGAUCACACCAACAGCUCCUCCAGAGAAUGAAGCCACUAUAGGAUCAACCUGACUUAAUUGCAUAGGUAAAUGGGCACUAUGGAUAAAAUCUGCAUAUGACGUCCCCCCUAAUCCGAGCU